CAAGAAAAUCUGUUGUGUGGAACGCCACUGGAUUGCGCAAUUAGUUAAGUAAUUGAUCUAAUUGCACUUUACAGUGGUGUUCUAAUCUCCAGCCUAUCA